rnacentral:lncRNA from 10 species
AUGCAUUUAAUUAAAUGAAGAUGAGCUCAUGCUGGAGUAGGGUGGACUCUGAACCCAGUGGGACAAGCGUCCUUAUUAAGAAGAGGGAAAUCUGGACACACACAGAGCAGAGACCGCCGUGUGAAGAUGGAGGCAGAGAUCGGAGAGAUGCUGCCACACGCCACAAAUGCCUGGGGCUCCCAGAAACUACACGGAGCCUCCCCCAGCGGCUUCAGCAGGAGCAUGGCUCGGCCAACACUUUGAUCUUGGUCUUCCAGCCUCCAGAACGAAGAAAUGCUGAGGCAGUGUCACGCUGGUGUCUGUCCUCCUUACAGAAUGCCUGAACAGUUCCAUUGACUCAAAGUGAAGAUCAAAAGAACCAAAUGACAGCAAUAGCCAAGUGUAAUCAUCAGUAACCCUGUGUUCUAUCCACAGUUAAAAGAAUAUUGGCAGAGAAACAGCCUUGGUGUUCCAGCAGGAGUGAAGAGGAACAGGAAAACGAGUGGCAGUAGCCCUGAAACAGCCACUUCUGGUGGUUGCCACUCACCUGAGGAUGUGAGUCUUGGCAGGCCAGGCUUCUGGGGACAGGGGGCCCAAGGCACAGUAGACGGUAAUUUUUAAGAUUAUGGAUGGACUGUUGGGUACUGGUUAAGAAUUCUGGGUUUGGCCAGGCACAGUGGCUCAUGCCUGUAAUCCCAGCACUUUGGGAGACUGAGGCCGGUGGAUCACGAGCUCAGGAAAUUGAGACCAUCCUGGCUAACACGGUGAAACCCUGUCUCUCCUAAAAAUACAAAAAAAUUAGCCAGGCUUGGUGAUGGGUGCCUGUAGUCCCAGCUACUCGGGAGGCUGAGGCAGGAGAAUGGUGUGAACCUGGGAGGCGGAGCUUGCAGUGAGUUGACAUUGUGCCACCACACUCCAGCCUGGGAGACAAAGCGAGACUCCAUCUC